UACGAGGGGGGCGAGCGUUGUUCGGAAUUAUUGGGCGUAAAGGGUGCGUAGGCGGUUUGGUAAGUCUUAUGUGAAAUCUACAGGCUCAACUUGUAGUCUGCAUGAGAAACUGCCGGGCUUGAGUAUGGGAGAGGUGAGUGGAAUUCCUGGUGUAGCGGUGAAAUGCGUAGAUAUCUGGAGGAACACCGGUGGCGAAGGCGGCAUCCUGGACCGGCAUUGACGCUGAGGCGCGAAAGCCAGGGGAGCAAACGGG
rnacentral:rRNA from 1 species